UACGUAGGGUGCGAGCGUUUAAUCGGAAUUACUGGGCGUAAAGCGUGCGCAGGCGGUGAUGUAAGACAGGUGUGAAAUCCCCGGGCUUAACCUGGGAACUGCAUUUGUGACUGCAUUGCUGGAGUGCGGCAGAGGGGGAUGGAAUUCCGCGUGUAGCAGUGAAAUGCGUAGAUAUGCGGAGGAACACCGAUGGCGAAGGCAAUCCCCUGGGCCUGCACUGACGCUCAUGCACGAAAGCGUGGGGAGCAAACAG
rnacentral:rRNA from 1 species